AGUGAACUUUGUUGGAGCUCCUGUGUGGCUUCUUGUUGUCUUUGAUGCAAACUGCUCCUGGUUAUGUGAACUACUUCUCAGCCUUCCGGACCCAUGUGCCGCUUCCACAAGUGCACACUUCCCUUUGUUCUUCUAUUGUCAGCGACAGUAGGCGAGAACCAAAGCUCACUUCUCAUCCGCAGGUGGUUCACUCGAUUAUUUGCCGUUGUUUCUUGAUUAGGCGAAAUUCAACUUUGUUGUUUUUCCCGUAACCGAGAGAAAUGAACUACAACUUCCAAUGGUCUUAGUUCUUGUCGGUGAAAAGAAGUGAUAAAUUAUUAAAAGGGAGUACAUGACAAUCUGGAUGGUAGUUAGAUACAAGUCUCUUUGUAGUGGCACAAUACGAGAGUAAGUUCUCUUAUAUUCUUAUGCAUAUUCUGAAUUUUAUGCAGGACCAAACUUUAGAGAAUAUGAUCUGCACAAAAGCUAUUUUCUUGUUUAUCAAUUUAUUUGUACUGCAUGUUAUUCAGUGCAUUUAGAAUCCUCUUAGCUUGAGAAGACAAACGGUGCUUGUUUCAGCAAAUGCAAAAGCUCCUACGUUACUCCGCAAUGUUAGUAAUUGUAUUUCAGUACACACAAGACUUAACACAUGAUUUUGUUAACCAAUUUGGGUUUCUGAUGAGUGGUUUUGUGUGUCAUGGUUUUUAAUGUCAGGUGACUUUACUGUUUUAGUUGAUAAUAACGCAUAAAUAUAAAUAUCCAUAUUAACAAGUUUUUUCUGCAUCAUAUUUAUUCCCUUUGCUCGAAACAUCAUUGAAACAUUUUGAUACUGUCACAGCUCUACCUACAUGUUCCAUUAUUAUGUUCCGAGACAUGUUUGCUUACAAUGAUGCAGCAUCGGUAAAAUACAAGUAACCAAGUAAUUAUGUUUAUCUAAUACUUUCAAAUAAAUAGUAUCAAGUAAUCACUAAAAAUAUUAACUGUACAUGCAAAGAAGAUAACACAUUCUUUUAAUUAUUACGUAUUAAUUAUCCAAUAAUACUUUGUAGGAGUCGUAAGUGAUUAUGAAGACUUUAUGGUAAACAAAAACUCAACAACUUCUUUUUGCGGGUAUGAUUAUUCAUUCUAGGGUCGUUAUCACUUUGUUAAAAAAUUAUAUGGUAAGAGAACAAACAAUCUGCAUGAUCGUACUACAAUUACAUUUAUAUGUACGUGAUUGGGUCUACGAGGAAUGGAUGUCUCAAGUUAGUGAUUCUUUCUUCUUGCUGGCUUUACCCCCAAAUCUCGAGCAUUUCUUUUCGCCGAGAAAUCAGAGACUACCAUGUUCUUGGGUCCUAUGCAGAAGGAGGGUUAGCUUAUAGAUACUUUAUGUCGAAGUGUUCGUAUUUGUGUGCGGCUCAGUCAAACUACAAUGCGGCCACUGUAACGGCUGGUGCUACCAAAUCAAGACCGCGCCGCCUGUGCUAGGAGUUCAGAUCUUGCUUUUAUAUUGUUUAAAAGCAGGUAACGUUUUCUUUGUGCAUGUGGUAGGCUGUGAGUUGAUCAAUGGCUUCGGGUCACCUGUCAUUAAGCAGAAUCUUACUGAUCCAGCAGCUUCAGAAAAGGCAGCUUAAGAGCACGCCCUUGAGCCGGUUGACGGAUCCCGCCUCCCGAGGAUUCUAUUUUCCUGUUUUGUUGAGCCGUAUUAAAAUCUGUUACUCUCAUAUAAAAAAAUCUGUUUGACUCUGUCGAGGUGACAACCUCUAUUUCGUUGAGAGGUCUGCACCCUAUGUGGAAGCACCCUAUGUGGAACAACAGGUGCUAUGGCUCCACCAGUGUGUCGAAUGCAGUUUUGUGCCUCGGUUGGUAUUAUUCAAUCGGUUGGCAGAAGAGUUGUUGAUGUUUUGGAUUGGGAAUUCGAGCCUUUUGUUCUAGGAACUUUGUACUCUUCUAUUGAUUCACUUAUUUAAAUUCUACCGUCAAACUUUUUAUACCUAA